CCUACGGGUGGCAGCAGUCGAGAAUCAUUCACAAUGGGGGAAACCCUGAUGGUGCGACGCCGCGUGGGGGAAUGAAGGUCUUCGGAUUGUAAACCCCUGUCAUGUGGGAGCAAAUUAAAAAGAUAGUACCACAAGAGGAAGAGACGGCUAACUCUGUGCCAGCAGCCGCGGUAAUACAGAGGUCUCAAGCGUUGUUCGGAAUCACUGGGCGUAAAGCGUGCGUAGGCUGUUUCGUAAGUCGUGUGUGAAAGGCGCGGGCUCAACCCGCGGACGGCACAUGAUACUGCGAGACUAGAGUAAGGGAGGGGGAACCGGAAGUCUCGGUGUAGCAGUGAAAUGCGUAGAUAUCGAGAGGAACACUCGUGGCGAAGGCGGGUUCCUGGACAUUAACUGACGCUGAGGCACGAAGGCCAGGGGAGCGAAAGGGAUUAGAUACCCCUGUAGUC
rnacentral:rRNA from 1 species